GCGACCCCAGGUCAGACGGGACUACCCGCUGAGUUUAAGC
rnacentral:rRNA from 1 species